rnacentral:rRNA from 1 species
CCAAUAGCGUAUAUUAAAGUUAUUGCAGUUAAAAAGCUCGUAGUUAAAUUUUAGGCCUGGCCGGUCGGUCCGUCUCUGACGAGUACUGUACUGUCGUCGGGUCUAUCCUUCUGGUGAGCCGGUAUGUUCUUAAUUGGGCGUAUCGGGGAGCCAGGACCAUUACCUUGAAAAAAUUAGAGUGUUUAAAGCAGGCUUUUGCUUGAAUCGAUUAGUAUGGAAUAAUAGAAUAGGACGUUGUGGUUCUAUUUUGUUGGUUCAAGGACCACCGUAAUGAUUAAUAGGGAUAGUUGGGGGCAUUAGUAUUCAAUUGUCAGAGGUGAAAUUCUUGGAUUUAUUGAAGACUAACUACUGCGAAAGCAUUUGCCAAGGAUGUUUUCAUUAAUCAAGAAUGAAAGUUAGGGGAUCGAAGACGAUCAGAUACCGUCGUAGUCUUAACCAUAAACUAUGCCGACUAGGAAUCGGGCGACGUUAUUUUCACAACUCGCUCGGCGCCUUAUG